GACGUAGGGGGCGAGCGUUGUCCGGAGUUACUGGGCGUAAAGCGCCCGCAGGCGGUCGUGCGCGUUGGGGGGGACAGCCGGUGGCUCAACUGCCGGAGGCCUCCCAAGACGGCAGGACUGGAGGGCCUCAGAGGGACAUGGAACUCCCGGUGGAGCGGUGAAAUGCGUAGAGAUCGGGAAGAACACCAAAGGCGAAGGCAGUGUCCUGGGAGGUACCUGACGCUCGGGGGCGAAGGCCAGGGGAGCGAACGGG
rnacentral:rRNA from 1 species